GGGUAAGUGAAAAGCUGGUGGGCCGCAGAACAUGUGCUUUCUUUGUGCCAUAUGUCUGCCGACCAUCACCUUUAGAAGCCC
rfam:Felis catus isolate Cinnamon breed Abyssinian chromosome B3, whole genome shotgun sequence.